rnacentral:rRNA from 1 species
GUGUGCUUCACACAUGCAAGUCGAACGGGGUAGCAAUACCUAGUGGCGGACGGGUGAGUAACGCGUGGGAAUCUGCCUUGAAAUGGGGGAUAGCAAGCCGAAAGGCUUAUUAAUACCGCAUAUGAUUACAUCAAGACAUUUUUGUAAUUGAAAGGAGCAAUCCGUUUCAAGAUGAGCCCGCGUCCGAUUAGCUAGUUGGUAAGGUAACGGCUUACCAAGGCGACGAUCGGUAGGUGGUCUGAGAGGAUGAUCACCCACAAUGGGACUGAGACACGGCCCAUACUCCUACGGGAGGCAGCAGUGGGGAAUUUUGUGCAAUGGGCGAAAGCCUGACACAGCGACACCGCGCGAACGAAGAAGCUCUCUGGAGUGUAAAGUUCUGUCGGCUGGAACGAAAACAAUGACGGUACCAGCAAAGGAAGCAUCGGCUAACUACGUGCCAGCAGCCGCGGUAAGACGUAGGAUGCAAGCGUUGUCCGGAUUUAUUGGGCGUAAAGAGUUCGUAGGCGGUUUACUAAGUCUGAUGUUAAAGAUCGGGGCUCAACCCUGAGAGUGCAUUGGAUACCGGUAGGCUUGAGUGUGGUAGAGGCUAGUGGAAUUCCCAGUGUAGCGGUGAAAUGCGUAGAUAUUGGGAAGAACACCAGUGGCGUAGGCGACUAGCUGGGCCAUAACUGACGCUGAGGAACGAAAGCCAGGGGAGCGAAUGGGAUUAGAUACCCCAGUAGUCCUGGCCGUAAACGAUGGAUACUAGGCGUAGUGGGUAUCGACCCCUACUGUGCCGCAGCUAACGCGAUAAGUAUCCCGCCUGAGUAGUACGGCCGCCAGGKUUG